GUAGGUGGCAAGCGUUGUCCGGAAUUAUUGGGCGUAAAGCGCGCGCGGGCGGUUCUUUAAGUCUGAUGUGAAAGCCCACGGGCUCAACCGUGGAGGGUCAUUGGAAACUGGAGAACUUGAGUACAGAAGAGGAAAGCGGAAUUCCACGUGUAGCGGUGAAAUGCGUAGAGAUGUGGAGGAACACCAGUGGCGAAGGCGGCUUUCUGGUCUGUAACUGACGCUGAGGCGCGAAAGCGUGGGGAGCAAACAGGAUUAGAUACCCUGGUAGUCCACGCCGUAAACGAUGAGUGCUAAGUGUAGGGGGUUUCCGCCCCUUAGUGCUGCAGCUAACGCAUUAAGCACUCCGCCUGGGGAGUACGACCGCAAGGCUG
rnacentral:rRNA from 1 species